rnacentral:misc_RNA from 1 species
CUUUCAAGAGAAGCACAAUAUUCUCUUCGUAGAACUAUGGAGAAGUACAGUGCCUCCUGCCGGCUGAUUCUAUGCUGCAACAGUUCUUCGAAGGUUACUGAAGCAAUUCGGUCUCGUUGUCUGAAUGUGCGAAUAAAUGCACCUUCAGAGGAACAGAUUGUUAAGGUAUUGGAGUUCAUUGGGAAGAAAGAAGGGCUGCAACUUCCUCCUGGAUUUGCUGUGCGAAUAGCAGAAAAAUCAAAUCGAAGUUUAAGGAGAGCCAUACUUUCAUUUGAGACUUGCCGUGUCCAACAAUAUCCUUUUACAAGUAAUCAAGCAAUACCUCCAAUGGACUGGGAGGAAUAUGUUUCUGAAAUAGCAUCUGACAUAAUGAGGGAGCAGAGUCCUAAAAAGCUUUUUCAGGUUCGAGGGAAGUUGUAUGAACUACUAAUUAAUUGUAUUCCUUCUGAGAUUGUUUUGAAGAGGCUGCUUUAUGAGUUAUUGAAGAAAUUGGAUGAGGAAUUAAAGCACGAGGUCUCCCAUUGGGCUGCAUAUUAUGAGCAUAGGAUGCGUCUUGGACAGAAAGCCAUAUUUCACCUUGAAGCUUUUGUGGCUAAGUUCAUGAGCAUUUAUAAGGCUUUUCUCAUUGCAACAUUUGGAUGAAGAAAAUAGCAGCAUUCUUGUGUGCGAUGUUUGAAUGUGUUGAAGACCAUGCUAUUAAUUCAGUUGCACUGAAGUUCCGGUGUUUUCGUCUGUAAUCAGUUGUGAUCAGAUGAGCAAAAUUUUUAUUUUCUACUUUUGCACCAUUUCUAAUUUAUAGCAUGUAAUGAGAUUCAGAUCUUUGUUCUUCGGCUCUGGCAUGGGUUCAUGCCUUUCCCUUCUGCAC